UUAGUAAGCGCGACCGAAACGGGAUGAGCCCAGCGCAUAACCUCGCAGUCAAGUAACUUGGCGUGUGCGAGGGGUGUUGCGUUUCGGAGGGUCUGGUAUUACUACUACUUAGUCCUGCAAUGUCCAAGUCAUGCUUGAAAGCAGCCGUCACCCGUGGAGGGUGAGAGGCCCGUAUGGCGGAGCGGGACGGUAGUAUAAGACCUCUCUGUAGAGUCGGGUUGCUUGUGAAUGCA
rnacentral:rRNA from 1 species